UACGGGGGGGGCAAGCGUUGUUCGGAAUUACUGGGCGUAAAGCGCGCGUAGGCGGCUUUUCAAGUCGGGCGUGAAAGCCCCGGGCUUAACCCGGGAAUGGCGCUCGAUACUGUUGAGCUAGAGUGUGGAAGGGGCUACUGGAAUUCCGUGUGUAGCGGUGAAAUGCGCAGAUAUCAGGAGGAACACCGAUGGCGAAGGCAGGUCUCUGGGCCACUACUGACGCUGAGAAGCGAAAGCAUGGGGAGCGAACAGG
rnacentral:rRNA from 1 species